AUGAACUCUUGUCCCGAACUGGUGAUUUUACUCUUUUUAAUGUUUGGAGAAAGCAAUGGAGACUCAGUGACUCAGACAGAGGGCCAAGUGACACUGUCUGAAGGGACUUCUCUGACUGUGAACUGUUCCUAUGAAACCAAAGAGUACCCAGCCCUGUUCUGGUACGUGCAGUAUCCCGGAGAAGGUCCACAGCUCCUCUUUAGAGCCUCAAGGGACAAAGAGAAGGGAAGCAGCAGAGGGUUUGAAGCCACAUAUGACAAAGGGGCCACCUCCUUCCACUUGCGGAAAGCCUCAGUGCAGGAGUCAGACUCGGCUGUGUACUACUGUGCCCUGGGUGACACAGUGGCAGAAACCGCAGGGGGAGCUGAGCACAAACUCUGA